GACGAACGCUGGCGGCGUGCUUAACACAUGCAAGUCGAACGAUGAAGCCCAGCUUGCUGGGUGGAUUAGUGGCGAACGGGUGAGUAACACGUGAGUAACCUGCCCUGGACUCUGGGAUAACCCCGAGAAGUCGGAGCUAAUACCGGAUAGGACCUUUCCCCGCAUGGGGUUUGGUGGAAAGUUUUUCGGUUUGGGAUGGACUCGCGGCCUAUCAGCUUGUUGGUGAGGUAAUGGCUCACCAAGGCGUCGACGGGUAGCCGGCCUGAGAGGGUGACCGGCCACACUGGGAGUGAGACAAGGCCCAGACUCCUACGGGAGGCAGCAGUGGGGAAUAUUGGACAAUGGGCGCAAGCCUGAUGCAGCAACGCCGCGUGCGGGAUGACGGCCUUCGGGUUGUAAACCGCUUUUAGUAGGGAAGAAGGGCUUCGGCUUGACGGUACCUGCAGAAAAAGGACCGGCUAACUACGUGCCAGCCGCCGCAGUAAAAC
rnacentral:rRNA from 1 species